rnacentral:rRNA from 1 species
UACCCGCAGCUCAAGUGGUGGUCAUUAUUAUUGGGCCUAAAGCGUCCGUAGCAGGCUUGUUAGAUGCCUGGGUAAAUCGAUGCGCUUAACGCAUCGAAUUCCGGGUAGACCGGCAAGCUCGAGACCGGGAGAGGCGUGAGCUACUCGAGGGGUAGGGGUAAAAUCCUGUAAUCCUUCGGGGAGGACCAGUGGCGAAGGCGUCACGCUAGAACGGCUCUGACUGUGAGGGACGAAGCCCUGGGGCGCAAACCGG